UACGUAGGUGUCGAGCGUUGUCCGGAUUUAUUGGGCGUAAAGAGCCCGCAGGCGGCUUGGCAAGUUUGAGGUGAAAUCUCCCGGCUUAACUGGGAGGGGGCCUCGAAAACUGCCAGGCUUGAGGCAUGGAGAGGGAUGCGGAAUUCCCGGUGUAGUGGUGAAAUGCGUAGAUAUCGGGAGGAACACCAGUGGCGAAGGCGGCAUCCUGGACCAACACUGACACUGAGGAGCGAAAGCCAGGGGAGCAAACGGG
rnacentral:rRNA from 1 species